CGCUCCUAAAGUCUCUAACGUACUGGUUCAGUUAUUCUAAUUUAAAAGUGGAUUUCGACAUGGUAGUGUAUUUGUAUAUUGACUUUCUUUAGCUAGAGAAUUAUAAAGACCAUUGGAAAUGAGACCGCGACACAUGAGAGGUGUACGUAGAUAUGAUACUGAUUAGUAGUAAGGGGUAUAAUGGUCCAGACAUUGGCGGAUGCUUCAGAAACCACUGUGGUGGUUACGGUUUACUCUAAAAGAAGGUUGACUGACAUGCAGAAGGAUGAAGAACGGCUACUGCUGCAGUAAGAGAUAUUGAAAACAAACGGAAACUAACAAAACAAAGUAAAGUGUUUAUUCGUUAAUUAUAAUGAUGAUUACUAGUAUUAGUAUGCUGACGUGCUUUGUGAUGUUGAUAAACGCUGAUUAUACAUUUGGUGCAGCUACUGUUUAUAAUGAACACCAUAAAAAAGCGGAUACGACAUAAGUAUGUCUAAAUGUAACUAAAAGCAAGGCGAGCUCUCGGCCAGCGAUGGCAAGUUGGCAACACUAUUUUAGUAAGUUUUUUUUUCUUUUUCAUUUUAAACAUCAAAGCGAGAUUGAAAAAUUGAGAUUAA